rnacentral:lncRNA from 1 species
AUUGAGGAAGAAGAAGCAAAAGAGUUGAAGCUUUUUGUUGAGAAACUUCAUCGACUCUUUUCAUUGAUGUCUUCUCCCUUGGACUCUGAUCGCUUGGCCCUUCGUUGAAAACUCUCUCUCUCUCUAUUCCACUUGUAAAUACUCUCUUUCUAUUAGUCUCUGUUGUGUGUUUAGAAAGACCCUUUUGUGGAUGGGAGACAUGGAACUUUUGGUUGUGUGUAACUCUUUCAACUUCCGAUCAUGAGUAAUAAACAAUUGAUUCCCCAGAGUAAACAGAGUCCAAAACUUCCUUUUUUUUUGGAAAUGGUUUAUCAUGUUUUGACACUCAGCCUUUUGAACCUAGACCAGUGCCUAUAUAACUAUAAUCAUUUCCAAACCAAAUUUUUUUCCUAAAUUAAAUUUAAACCAGUUAUCAGGACUGUACUUCUACUGUGUAUCCAAUCUGAAAUAAAAAUAUGUGAAUUGUAAUGGAAAUGUUUUGUGGUCGUUUUUCUCCAUGUACAACCAUGAGAAAACGUUCUGGUUUACAGGCACAGUACAAAGUAGAAGCUAGUAAAUUAUGAAUGAUUAGCAUAAGGUAACUGAACUUAGAAUAUUCAACGAAGCAAAACAAAAAUAAACUUAUAAACAUUUCCUCCUCAACAUAUGAAAGGAAAUAAUAUAGGCAAUUAUAUCCAUGCAUUAUUUGUUUCAAACAUUUGUAGGUAUAGGAAAAAUAACAUAGUAACCGUCAUAUUUGUUCUUUGAAAUUUUGAAACUAAAAGUAACGCAUUCAUACUUGAAACGGAAAAAAAAGUAACGCAUACAAGAGAUAACUAUUCUUGCUCAAUCGGUUGAUGCAGAUUUAGAGAAAUUUCAUCUUCCAUCUAAAGUCUAAACCUUCCUCUUAUACGGAUUGGAUAAUCAAACUGGGAUUAAAUGUAAUCUUGCGUUGAUGGUCAAAAAAGUAACUAGGGUUGCAUAAAUUUGAUUUAAAAUAUAAGUUUAGUGAUGAGUUAAGUUUGAAAAAAAAAAGGAAAACAAAAGAAUUUAAUUAGUAUAGUUUUUGAAAUGAACACGUUCUAGAACGUAGGAAAACACACAAAAUCUGUGCAUGCAUCUGGUCAUGCAUGCAUAAAAAAGAAGAAUGUAAAUAUUGACCUCCAGGCUCCAAGUAUGAAGUUGCAACACUUGUACUAGAGUAUGUUUUGUUCCUCCUUUUAUGACCUUCGAGUUUUGAUGAUUUUGCUGUCUGAACAAUUAAUUUAUUCACUAAUUAUCUUAUAAAGCCCGACUAAAAUGACCGAAUCUAUGUACUAGAAUGCUUUGUUCCUCCUUUUAUACAAGGCGACACUGUGUGAGUACUGAGUAGUUUUUGUAUCCUACGUACUCACAAUCACAAUCUUUGGUGGUAUAAACAAUAUUGUCCUUCUAUCCAACAUUAUAGACUUGUGGUUUCCAUAUUUGUAGUACUGAGUUUCCGACCAACGUCUUUAAUCAACAACUACAUACUUUUUUGACAGAUUUACUUCGCGAAUUAUGAACCUGUGAACAAUUUUCUAUUUCUUCAAAUAAAAUCAUUGUAAGAGUGUCCAAUAACGCCGUUCUUGAACUGUUACUUCGACAAAACAAAUUAAAAUAUAUUUGACAAAAUAAUAAUUUUAUUAAUAUUUUGACAAAACAAACAAUCAAAUGUGUAGGUUACCCAAAAUAGACAACCAAAUCUAACAUGAUACUAUUGUGACUAGAUUACUAACUAUUUUUCUCGUAGUAUGUCAUAUUAACUUACGCAAAUAUUACAUGAGCAAAAUAAAAUACUUUCUCAAUUCCAUAAAAAGUAUCAUUUUAAUAUUUUUUCUUAUUACACGAUGAAUGUUAUAGAUUUUCAAUACAACUUAUACUUACAUACUUUUAUCUUGAUAUUAAUUGCAAAUUUUGAUCUUAUAAAUAAUUUUAUUUAUCUCAAAUACUAUAAAUUAAAGAAAUGUAAUUAAUAAUAACAUAAAUGCAGUUCAAUCAUUUUUAAAAUUUGUAUGAAAAAUGUCAAAUCGACACUCCGUGAAAUGGAGUAAAUAUCUUUUUAGGUUUGGAUUAGUAGUUUAUGCUGAAACAUCAACUAGUUUGCUUCACUAGAUACAUAUAUGCAAUGCAAUUGAAUGAUUAUUUCUUUUGAUGAUCUCUAAUAUAUAACUGAUGUGAAUUGAAAGACUUCAUUGUUAGUUUGGCGGGUCUUGUCCAACUCGAAACUUUUGGGUAAGGAUUGGUAGAGUUCUGCAUCUCACUACAGAAGAUAACUUGGUGUAUCUGCAUAGUUGCACUUUUGCAAUAGAGUUAACCUUUUAAUUUAUAACCACGGGGUGGUGGGCUAGGGGUCUUGAGGUAGUUAACACACCAAUACGGACCCGGGUUCGAAUACUCCCUGUGACCACAGAAUGCUUUACGCCUUUCCUAAGUUUAAAGUUAUCGCGGCGUUGGUGCCGGGUCCUUGGGUAAUGGGUAUUAAUGCUGGCUAGUUCCGGGCCAAGGGGAUUAGAUGAUUGGCAAUCGGAAACCACGUGCGGAUUACGGGCCUUUGGGUAAACGGAAACCACGUGCGGAUUACGGGUCACCUUUGAACCUCCUGUUAAAAAAAAAAUAAAAAACCUUUUAAUUUUAUAUGAGGAUACCCAAAAUAUAUUAUUUUACUAAAUUACUAGGUAAAUUGUUCGUACCGAAGCAAAUCCAAAUAAGCCAAAUAGUAUAUACUUUUUAAAAUCUGAAAUAGUAUUACUAUCACUACUUUUAGUCAUUUACCUAAUUUAUAAAACUUACAAAUACACAAAAAAAUUCAAACACUUCGAGAGAACCAUCAAAUAAUAAUAUCAUCGUACAUAUAAAACUAGUAGGCCUAGAAACUAGAGUAUAGAUUACAACUUCACACUUCCUCAACAAAAUAGAAACGAUUACAUUCACAUACCAACGAAUCGAAGAAUAAUCCUAGCUUCACAUAAAAUAAAAUUUUCACAAAAAUAUUUAUUGAUUUUUCCAUUUCAUUUUUUUUUUUUUUUGUCACUAAUUUUUUCCAUUUCAUAAUUACUAGUAUUAUAUAGCCCCACACUGGCACUCAUCUUCCUCAGUCCUCACAGGCUUCAACGUGUAGGUAAAGAAAGAAAAAAAUAACAAAGCAGUGCAAUGUACUCUGUUUCUUCCUCUUCCUUCAUCUCUACAUUCUCUCCUAAACCCUCUCUUCAUCUUCGCCACUCAUCUUCCUCUCGUCUUCUUCCCCGUAUCAACUCCACCGUCGUCGAAGAACGAUCCCCGAUCAUUAACCCAAGCGAAAACAAUGGCCCUCCUCAUAAGAAACUCUACACUCGGACUAACCGCAACGCAGUUGCAUCUCCGGCGAAACUCCGACCAGAAACGACUCUCGUAGCAGCCCUCUUCACCACCGUAGAAGAUGCCAUCAACACGUUCAUCGAUCCACCGUCACGUCCUUCCGUAGAUCCAAAACACGUUCUCUCAGGUAACUUCGCUCCUGUUCUCGACGAGCUUCCUCCAACGGAAUGUGAGAUCAUCCACGGCUCUCUUCCUCCGUCUCUUGACGGCGCUUACAUCCGUAACGGCCCGAACCCACAGUUUCUCCCUCGUGGCCCUUACCACCUAUUCGACGGUGACGGCAUGCUUCACGCGAUUCGUAUCCGUAAUGGUAAAGCCACGCUCUGUAGCAGAUUCGUCAAGACUUAUAAGUACAACGUCGAGAAACAAAACGGAGCUCCCGUGAUACCUAACGUGUUUUCGGGAUUUAACGGCGUGACGGCGUCAGUUGCUCGUGGAGCUUUAACGGCGUUAAGGGUUUUAGCGGGACAGUAUAAUCCGGUUAACGGCAUUGGUUUGGCUAAUACGAGUCUAGCGUUCUUCUGUAACCGUCUCUUCGCUUUAGGAGAAUCUGAUUUACCCUACGCCGUACGAUUAACGGACACUGGAGAUAUUGAAACGAUCGGACGGUUCGAUUUCGACGGGAAGUUAGAGAUGAGCAUGACAGCUCACCCGAAAACCGAUCCUGAAACCGGAGAAACGUUCGCUUUCCGGUACAGUCCGGUUCCACCGUUUUUAACGUUUUUCCGGUUUGAUUCAACCGGGAAGAAACAAAGAGACGUUCCGGUUUACUCCUUGACGUCUCCAUCGUUCGUUCACGACUUCGCGAUCACGAAGAGGCACGCAAUCUUCGCGGAGAUUCAGAUCGUGAUGAGGAUGAAUAUAAUGGAUCUGGUGCUCGAGGGGGGAUCUCCGGUUGGUGCUGACAACCGGAAAACGCCGCGGCUCGGAGUGAUUCCUCGUAACGCCGGCGAUGAUUCGGAGAUGAAAUGGUUUGAAGUUCCUGGAUUCAACAUCAUUCACGCUAUCAAUGCUUGGGAUGAAAACGAUGGAACCACCGUCGUUUUGAUCGCUCCGAAUAUUAUGUCCAUCGAGCAUACGUUAGAGAGGAUGGAUCUCGUUCACUCCUUGGUGGAGAAGGUGAAGAUCGAUCUCGUCACAGGAAUCGUGACACGUCAUCCGAUCUCCGCGAGGAACCUCGAUUUCGCGGUGAUCAAUCCGGCGUUUCUCGGGAGGCGGAGCCGGUACGUGUACGCGGCGAUCGGGGAUCCGAUGCCGAAGAUCUCCGGAGUGGUGAAGCUCGACGUGAGUAAAGGCGAUCGGGAUGAUUGCACGGUGGCGCGUAGAAUGUACGGUCCAGGUUGUUACGGCGGCGAACCGUUUUUCGUAGCGAGGGAUCCUGGUGAUCAGGAGGCAGAGGAGGAUGACGGUUACGUGGUGACAUAUGUUCACGAUGAGGUGGCUGGAGAGUCGAAGUUUUUGGUGAUGGACGCGAAGUCGCCGGAGCUUGAAAUCGUCGCGGCCGUGAGGUUGCCGCGAAGGGUUCCGUACGGAUUCCACGGACUAUUUGUAAAGGAGAGCGACGUUAAUAAGCUUUAACUAAAACAAAGGAUUAAGUGUUUAAUCACGCUCCGUUUAAUGGAGACAAAGCAUAUAUAGUGUUGUUAUAUUUGAAACAUUAUAGUAUACAUAAUUUGGCGGUGGUAGUUUGUAUACAAAAUUAUCAAACCUUAUAUUAAAUUUUUUUUCUUUCUUUUUUUUUUUUUUUACAACAAAAGGCUAAGAAACUAGGAAGGUUCCUGAUCCGAGAGCCACCUCGGGGGAACAGAAUCAACAUAAACCAUAGCAGAUGGCGAAGUCCUAGCACCGCGUGCCAGUUUGUCCGCCAGAGUAUUUUGCGCCCUCGGUAUAUGCUGGAUAGUAAAGUUAAGAAAGAAUUCCUUACAUCGUAGAAACUCCUCCAUGUGUGUAGUGAACGCCGGCCAUUCUGUCGGUGUAGACACCAUCUUCACCAGUUGAGAACAGUCUGUUGCAAACACCACCUCUGAAAUUUGUAGGGUCUUCAUGCACUCCAUCGCCCAUAUCAAAGCUUCACAUUCAGCAUGUAAAGGUGAUAGACUCCUGCGAAUAGACAUUGCACCCAUCAUAGUAUCAGUUGAUCCAUCUUUUUUGUAGACCCAUCCCUGUCCUGUAUAAGGAUCAUGUUCCUUCCAUGCUCCAUCUAUAAAACACUUGUUAACUCCAUGUGGAAAAUGAUUCUCUGCAAAAUGUAAAUAUUCACGAUUUAUAGUCUCCUUUAUCUGGGCUUCAGCCCACAAAACACCUUCUAUCUCCGCGAUCCGAAGAGUGUCCAAAGGGGUUUUUAUCUGAUUCUUAAAAACUUUAGCAUUUCUAUUCUUCCAGAUAUACCACAAUAUCCAUGGAAAAUAUUUCAAAUCUGGUUCCUUGGGUAAUCGCCAGAAAAGAUAAUCCAUAUUUGUGAAAAGUGAUGAGGUGGGAAAAACUCCUGGGCACGAGGGAAUAUUAGAUAAAGCCCACGUUUGUAGUGCUAAUGGACAUUCUUCCGAUCAUGAGUAAUAAACAAUUGAUUCCCCAGAGUAAACAGAGUCCAAAACUUCCUUUUUUUUUGGAAAUGGUUUAUCAUGUUUUGACACUCAGCCUUUUGAACCUAGACCAGUGCC